rnacentral:lncRNA from 1 species
CCCGGUCGGAUGUGGAACGGCCAAAAGCCGGUCCGCCGAUCGGCUCGGGGUGCGGACCGACGCGGAUUGCAGCGGCGGCCCAAGCCCAGGCUUUUGAUACGCCUGCGGAGAUGCCGUCGCAGCGAUUGUGGACUGCAGCGCGCGCUGUCACGGCGUGCUUCGGCACCUGCGCGCUCCGGGCGUCGGCCAGCGGGCUCCCCAUUCGGCCCGUCUUGAAACACGGACCAAGGAGUCUGACAU